GUGCCAGCAGCCGCGGUAAUACGAAGGGUGUAAGCGUUAAUCGGAAUUACUGGGNGUAAAGCGCGCGUAGGUGGNUCGCUAAGUUGGAUGUGAAAGCCCCGGGCUCAACCUGGGGAACUGCAUCCAAAACUGGCGAGCUAGAGUAUGGCAGAGGGUGGUGGAAUUUCCUGUGUAACGGUGAAAUGCGUAGAUAUAGGAAGGAACACCAGUGGCGAAGGCGACCACCUGGGCUAAUACUGACACUGAGGUGCGAAAGCGUGGGGACCAAACAGGAUUAGAUACCCUGGUAGUCC
rnacentral:rRNA from 1 species